AUCUAGGCAAGUCAUGGUUCUGGGAAAAAAGCCCCAGCUAAAAAUAGGCACGUAGGCCAGGGAACAUAAUCUUGGGACUCCAGAGCUAUAAACAAAGAAGGGAAAGAGUGUCCAAGAUCUCAAGUGUCAGCCUACCCACGGACAGGGCCAGUACUAACUGGAGGCCCUAACAACGGAGCCCACUCCAGACCAAACAAGCAGACGGCCGACACUAGCAGCCUUGCACCAGGGGACAGAAACUCCUAGCCUCACGGACGGUUGCAGUUGUCAGGAACGCAUCCAUGCUUCCUGGAAGGAGGCCCUUCGUAUCAAGUAAAAUCUCCCCAGCACAUAAACUUCCCUUUGAAGAAGGCUUCUGUUUCCAUUACUGAUGUGGAAAAUGCGUCUCAUCCUCAACGGCUUUUAAUGUCACUUCACUGUAAUACUGGCCAAGGGAACACACCAAAGCUGGAUUCCAGGUUUCUGCCAAGCAAGACUUCUGGGCUCCGGGAGGCAGAGAAGCUAGGUACCAUACUUGUGGUAGGCCACCAGGGCCAACAUGAAGACUGAAGGAGCUAACAACUACAACUGAGUGCGAGAGGGAUCAGCAGCCAAUACUUUUUCAGGAUGACUGAUGCUUGUCCAGGAGCCUGAUGAAGGGAAAGAACACUGGGUAUAUGUGAGUGUCAAGGACCUAAGUUUAAAUCUUAGCUCCACCUGUGGGACUGUGGGCACAUCAGUUAAUCUCUAAAAUUAAGUGUCUUCAUCUGCAAAAUGGAGAUACCUAUUUUACAAGGUUUGGGGUGGGAGAUGUUUUAU